AAGCAACCCAGAGCCCUCCUCCCGCCUGCUCUGUGUAGGAGACAGCCUGCGGAGCCCACUGCCGGCGCGCAGAGAGCCCAGCAGCUCUUGAGUCCAGGAAGCAAGGGUGGGAGGAGGGACGAGCCAGUGGCAAUGACCCAGACCCGGACGACCCCCAUUGCUGAGCCAGCGGAGCUGCUUGGAGGCAGAGGUUGCAGUGAGCUGAGAUUUUGCGACUACACUCCAACCUGGGCAACAGAGCGGGACUCCAUUCCAAAAAAAUAAGAAAAACAGAAAAAUAAUAAUUACAUCUGCAAAGACCUUAUUUCCAGUGAAUUGGAUUUCCCUGUGCAGCAGGCAAGAAGAAUCUGUUGGAUGAUUACAACAUUGCUGGAUUGAUAGCAGCCUCACCUGCCAGGCUCAAACUCCAGAUCCAAAGUCCACAAAUAUAUCAUAAAUCUGAAGAGGAACUGGGAGAAGCUUCUGCUGGCAGCUCAUGCCAUUGUUGCCAUUGAAAACCCUGCUGAUGUGUCAUAUCCUGCAGGAAUACUAGCUAGUGGGCUGUGCUGAAGUUUGCUGCUGCUGCUGGAGCCACAUGUAUUGCUGGUCACUUCACUUCUGGAACCUUUGCUAACCAGAUCCAAUCAUCUUCUGCCACCCACAUCUUCUGGUGGUUACUGAUUCUAGGGCUAACUAUCAGCCUCUCUCAGGGGCUUCUUAUGGUAACCUACCUACCUACCACUGCUGUAUGUAACAGAUUCUCCUCUGAGCUAUGUGGAUAUUGUCAUCCCAUGCAACAACAAGGAAGCUCAAUCACUGAGUCUAAUGUAGUGGAUGCUGGCCCAGGAAGCUCUGUGCAUGUGUUGCACCAUCUCCCAUGAUCAUGCCUGAUCUCUACUUCUAUAGAGAUCCUGAAGAGAUUGAAAAGGAAGAGUAGGCUGCAGCUGAAAAAGGAGGAAUUUCAAAGUGAAUGGACUGCUGUAGUGCAAGUUUACUGCUACUCAAUCUGAGGUUGCAGACUGGUUUAAAGACAUGCAGGUGCCCUCUGUGCCUAUUCAGCAGUUCCCUACUGAAGAUUGGAGCACUUAGCCUACCAUGAAUGACUGGUCUGCAACUUCCACUGCUCAGACCACUGAAUGGGGUCCACGAGGCUGGUGUCAGACCUAUUGGGAGACCCUCUGCGUUAGUGAGAAAAACGGCAAGAAAUGGGAGCACGCGGAAACCUCCAAGACUAGAGCCACCAGAUGCCACCGACAGCACGCAGCUGGACCAGCACGGGGGAGGGCCUUCGUGGGUCGAGAGCUCGCUCGGGAGAUAGUUGGUGCUUUUCUUUCAGGAGAAGAAUCCCUGGCGGAGUCUGACCGUUCUCUGGCGCACAGCCCCGGGGGUGGGCACAGCAGCCGCCCCUGCUGAAGGGACUGACGCCUCCGACGACCAGCAGCCAAGUUAAACGCACUGUUCCGUGAGCAGCUUUGUUGGAGACAGCGCGGUUCACAUUCUCUUCCAACGGAGCCGCUGACUGCGGAGCUGGGAGGGGACGUGACAGAACCCAGCCAUCCAACGUCCCCCCACCCCUCCCCAGCUGGGACCUCCGGCUGCUUCCGGGCUGCGCUGGGUGGCGUCAAGGAGCCGCCCCUCUGGGCCGCGUCCCUCCCUCACGCCCUGCACACUGGCCCUGUGUGGCCGGCGGGGCGCCUAAAAGGGCGGAAGGAUGCAGGGGCGGAGGGGGCUCGGGAUUGCACGCCUAGCUCAGACCCCCCAGCCAGGACCCCUCGCGCUGUUGGACACGCCAGCCUCCCGACCCUGCGGCUCCUACGGGAGGUGACAAGGACCCUGCCAACCUGGCCUGAAUGGCCCAGUUUGAUACAGAUCAGGUUUUCAAUGAAUGAGACCGCGGUGUGGUCUAGGCGGAGGGAUGAGAGGAGGGGAUUCUGCUGGGAUAAGUGGGGGCGGGGUAAGGAGGGGAUUCUUUUCCUGGGCUGAGGAGAACGCAGGGACAAAGUACACAGGGGUAGUUGAGUGAGCAGGUGAGGCCCUAGGCUGGUUCCCCACCUUCUCAGGAUCGGAGCCACUCACUUCCUGGUACUCUCUGCAGUCUCCUGGCGUUAAAUAACAUCCCUUUGCUGGAGACUCUGGAUUCACAUCCAUAAUCGCAGCCUCCCCUACUCAUCCCCUCACGCUUCCCAUGAACUAACCUUGAAGGACCCGACCAGAGCCCUGACCUCCGUCCCACACACCUGCUACAUGGAAGGUGUUCUCCACAUCAGUUCAAGGCAGUGUCACUCUUCAGGAUGUUCAGGCUCUAAACCUUGGACUCCUCCUCCAGAUUUCUCUCUCCUUCCUUCUCCUUGUCUCUCCCUUGCACUUACGGUUCACUUUUCCUUCGUAGCUUUGUAGCUCAUUCCCCCUUCCACUUUCCACACCACCUUCUGGUCUGUUAAUUAAAUAUUACCUGGUUUCCACUGACACCUUCCCUGGGUUCCCAAUUGAAAAUCACAACAUCAUCCUCCUCCUCUGCUUUUUUUCUCCAAAUUAUAUCCUCACCCAAUUAUGUGUUAUUCUCAUUAAUCUUGCUUAAUUAAUUAGCAGACAUUAUUAAUGCCUGUUUCCCCUAUCACCACCACUAGACUAUGAACUCCUAAGGACUCCUUCCUUCCACCACUGUUGUACUCGCUUCACCUAGAACUGCUUGGCACAUACAAUGUGCUCCAUAAAUAUUUGUUGAAUGAAAGACUAGACACAACUUAGGAUUCACUCCCCCAUGUGGCAUCCAUAAGCCCUGUAUGCAGGUAAAAUGUCAGUGGGUUGACUAAAUACUGGAAGUGGAAAAAACUUCACCUCUUUGGUUUGCAGUUGUCUAGGAUAUUUAGGCCAAUGGAAAAUCCAGUUUUCCUUAGAAUUAAGCCAGUGCCGCCAGACUUGCCAGUUUACCAUGCUUGUCUGACUGGUCCUCAGCAUGGGUCAUACGUGUCCAAUGAAUUCAAACAAAAUCUUGAGAAGACACGAACCUUGCCCUUCGGCUGGGCGCGGUGGCUCACGCCUGUAAUCCCAGCACUUUGGGAGGCCGAGGCAGGCGGAUCACGAGGUCAGGAGAUCGAGACCAUCCUGGCUAACAUGGUGAAACCCCGUCUCUACUAAAAAUACAAAAAAUUAGCCGAGCGUGGUGGCGGGCGCCUGUAGUCCCAGCUACUCAGGAGGCUGAGGCAGGAGAAUGGCGUGAACCCGGGAGGCGGAGCUUGCAGUGAGUGAGCCGAGAUCGCACCCCUGCACUCCAGCCUGGGCGACAGAGCGAGACUCCGUAAAAAAACAAAAAAAAAACCUUGCCCUUCAUUCCCCAUUUCUAUCAUAAUCUACACAGAGUUUUGAACAGGCAUUUUAAAAUCAACAAUAUAUUAUUUACAAUUUUGUUAGUAUACAUAACUCUAACUCACUGUUAAAAAUCACCUGUCUUUAUAUCCAUUAAAUGACACUUGCAUAUGCUCCAA
rnacentral:lncRNA from 1 species